GGAAUAUAAGAACCCGUCUCUUAACUUUUAACUAAAAAAACUAAGAAUCGAUUCUUAAAUAAGAGUUUUAAGAGUCGAUUCUUAACUUUUUGUGUUAAAAGUUAAGAAACAGGUUCUUAUAUUCU
rfam:Brassica napus, WGS project CCCW01000000 data, contig: 16271